rnacentral:rRNA from 1 species
GACGUAGGGCGCGAGCGUUGUCCGGAUUUAUUGGGCGUAAAGAGCUCGUAGGCGGCUUGUCGCGUCGACCGUGAAAACUUGGGGCUCAACCCCAAGCCUGCGGUCGAUACGGGCAGGCUAGAGUGCGGUAGGGGAGACUGGAAUUCCUGGUGUAGCGGUGAAAUGCGCAGAUAUCUGCAGGAACACCCGUGGCGAAAGCGGCGCGCUGGACCACUACUGACGCUGAGGAACGAAAGCUAGGGGAGCAAACAGG